AUGCUUAUGCUUUCUGUAUGGAGCUGGGAGCGUCUACCUGUUGGACGCCCGAAGAGCGUCAAGUUUAAUCCUUGGGAUGAAGAUGGCGAAUUACGGCGCCCCACUUAGGCUUACAAGUGGGAUGUGGUAUCCGAGAUGACGAACGAUGUCAGUCUCAUGUACCAAAAGUACAUUGCCAAGUUGGACACGAUUACGCCUGAGUAG
rnacentral:rRNA from 1 species